AAAAGCCUCUAAGCAUCAGGUAACAUCAAAUCGUACCCCAAACCGACACAGGUGGUCAGGUAGAGAAUACCAAGGCGCUUGAGAGAACUCGGGUGAAGGAACUAGGCAAAAUGGUGCCGUAACUUCGGGAGAAGGCACGCUGAUACGUAGGUGAAGUCCCUUGCGGAUGGAGCUGAAAUCAGUCGAAGAUACCAGCUGGCUGCAACUGUUUAUUAAAAACACAGCACUGUGCAAACACGAAAGUGGACGUAUACGGUGUGACGCCUGCCCGGUGCCGGAAGGUUAAUUGAUGGGGUUAGCGGUAACGCGAAGCUCUUGAUCGAAGCCCCGGUAAACGGCGGCCGUAACUAUAACGGUCCUAAGGUAGCGAAAUUCCUUGUCGGGUAAGUUCCGACCUGCACGAAUGGCGUAAUGAUGGCCAGGCUGUCUCCACCCGAGACUCAGUGAAAUUGAACUCGCUGUGAAGAUGCAGUGUACCCGCGGCAAGACGGAAAGACCCCGUGAACCUUUACUAUAGCUUGACACUGAACAUUGAGCCUUGAUGUGUAGGAUAGGUGGGAGGCUUUGAAGUGUGGACGCCAGUCUGCAUGGAGCCGACCUUGAAAUACCACCCUUUAAUGUUUGAUGUUCUAACGUGGACCCGUGAUCCGGGUUGCGGACAGUGUCUGGUGGGUAGUUUGACUGGGGCGGUCUCCUCCUAAAGAGUAACGGAGGAGCACGAAGGUUGGCUAAUCCUGGUCGGACAUCAGGAGGUUAGUGCAAUGGCAUAAGCCAGCUUGACUGCGAGCGUGACGGUGCGAGCAGGUGCGAAAGCAGGUCAUAGUGAUCCGGUGGUUCUGAAUGGAAGGGCCAUCGCUCAACGGAUAAAAGGUACUCCGGGGAUAACAGGCUGAUACCGCCCAAGAGUUCAUAUCGACGGCGGUGUUUGGCACCUCGAUGUCGGCUCAUCACAUCCUGGGGCUGAAGUAGGUCCCAAGGGUAUGGCUGUUCGCCAUUUAAAGUGGUACGCGAGCUGGGUUUAGAACGUCGUGAGACAGUUCGGUCCCUAUCUGCCGUGGGCGCUGGAGAACUGAGGGGGGCUGCUCCUAGUACGAGAGGACCGGAGUGGACGCAUCACUGGUGUUCGGGUUGUCAUGCCAAUGGCACUGCCCGGUAGCUAAAUGCGGAAGAGAUAAGUGCUGAAAGCAUCUAAGCACGAAACUUGCCCCGAGAUGAGUUCUCCCUGACUCCUUGAGAGUCCUGAAGGAACGUUGAAGACGACGACGUUGAUAGGCCGGGUGUGUAAGCGCAGCGAUGCGUUGAGCUAACCGGUACUAAUGAACCGUGAGGCUUAACCUUACAACGCCGAAGGUGUUU
rnacentral:rRNA from 1 species